rnacentral:rRNA from 1 species
CAAUAGCGUAUAUUUAAGUUGUUGCAGUUAAAAAGCUCGUAGUUGGAUUUCGGAUGGGACUUGCCGGUCCGUCGUUUCGAUGUGCACUGGCCAGUCCUAUCUUGUUGUCGGGGACUAGCUCCUGGGCUUCACUGUCCGGGACUAGGAGCUGACGAGGUUACUUUGAGUAAAUUAGAGUGUUCAAAGCAAGCCUACGCUCUGAAUACAUUAGCAUGGAAUAACACGAUAGGACUCUGGCUUAUCUUGUUGGUCUGUGAGACCAGAGUAAUGAUUAAGAGGGACAGUCGGGGGCAUUCGUAUUUCAUUGUCAGAGAUGAAAUUCUUGGAUUUAUGAAAGACGAACUUCUGCGAAAGCAUUUGUCAAGGAUGUUUUCAUUAA